rnacentral:rRNA from 1 species
GAUGAACGCUGGCGGCGUGCUUAACACAUGCAAGUCGAACGGUGAAGGCGGAGCUUGCUCUGCUGGAUCAGUGGCGAACGGGUGAGUAACACGUGAGCAAUCUGCCCCUGACUCUGGGAUAAGCGCUGGAAACGGCGUCUAAUACUGGAUACGAGCUGCGAAGGCAUGUUCAGCAGCUGGAAAGAACUUCGGUCAGGGAUGGGCUCGCGGCCUAUCAGCUUGUUGGUGGGGUAACGGCUCACCAAGGCGUCGACGGGUAGCCGGCCUGAGAGGGUGACCGGCCACACUGGGACUGAGACACGGCCCAGACUCCUACGGGAGGCAGCAGUGGGGAAUAUUGCACAAUGGGCGAAAGCCUGAUGCAGCAACGCCGCGUGAGGGACGACGGCCUUCGGGUUGUAAACCUCUUUUAGCGGGGAAGAAGCGAAAGUGACGGUACCUGGAGAAAAAGCGCCGGCUAACUACGUG